GCCUGGGUGGCUCAGUCGGUUAAGCAUCCGACUUCAGCUCAGGUCAUGAUCUCGUGGUUUGUGGGUUUGAGCCCCACAUCGGGCU
rnacentral:tRNA from 1 species